rnacentral:rRNA from 1 species
AUACGUAGGGGGCGAGCGUUGUCCGGAAUUACUGGGCGUAAAGGGUGCGUAGGCGGCCGAUUAAGUCAGAUGUGAAAUACCAUGGCUCAACCAUGGGGGUGCAUAUGAAACUGGUUGGCUUGAGUGCAGGAGAGGACAGUGGAAUUCCUAGUGUAGCGGUGAAAUGCGUAGAGAUUAGGAGGAACACCAGUGGCGAAGGCGACUUUCUGGACUGUAACUGACGCUGAGGCACGAAAGCGUGGGGAGCAAACAGGAUUAGAUACCCUGGUAGUCCACGCCGUAAACGAUGGAUACUAGGUGUAGGGGGUAUCGACCCCCCCUGUGCCGGAGUUAACGCAAUAAGUAUCCCGCCUGGGGAGUACGGCCGCAAGGUUGAA